UCCGGACACAUAACCAUGCCUAGGAAGGAAAGGAGUUGCUGUUUUGUAGAAGCGAUUGGGAUUUGGGAGAUUAGCUGGAUAUGAUCAGCAGGGAGAGCACGUGUGUUUUCAUGAGAAUUAUGCCAAGCUUCCCUUUGUGGCUAGAGUGAAGUAUACUGGUAUAAAGUGCUCUAAAAAUACAGAAACUGAGAGAAGAAGAAAUAUGAAAAAGAAAUGGAGAAAUGUGAGAGAGAAAACCAUUUACUGUGCGACAUUAGACUUCCUCGUGAUGAAGGAGGAGGAGAACAUUGGAUCUGAUAGGUGAUUCAAGUCUAAAAAUUGACUGAACUAAAAUUUAAAAGCCAAAAAAGGUGAAAGGUGAUGGAAUCUGUCUCAAGUAUGAAGAGUUCCUGUAACUUCAUAAGGAUGAAAGAUUUAACAGAGUACACUUAAGAGCAACAAGACAACUGUAAUCUUUUCACAUUUAUACCGCAGUGGACUGAGAUUCAACAAUCUGGGUCAUCCUGGAUUGGUGCAAUCGUACUCAAACUGUCCAUCUUUGCAUGGUGCCUACAUAUUGUGCAGAACCAUCUGGAAACCAAGCUUGAGUUUUUCUUCCUCAACCAACUGUUCAACGUAAAUGUGUGGAUUGAGAAAGAGAAGCCAGUGCAGCAGGAGUAUAUGAAGUGUGGAUUUGUGUUACUUCCUCAUUCACUUGUGCCUUCAGGGCAUGCUUAAAGCUGAUCUCAUAUAUGCUACUUUCAAUUUAUGGAGCACUGCUGUGAACGCCCAACUUUAUGGGUUGAGGAGUCAGACAAUACCCAGUUUCUGAUGGGCAGUUCAGGUCACAUAUUGACUUGAUAACCCAUGAUAAAGCAUUUGGUCUCUACGGAGUUCUGAUAACAAGACAAAGGCUAUUUUUCAAAAGAAGAGUGGUUAGGCAUAGAGUAGAAGAUAAUAUUGCUUAGCUCCCAAAUUCUAAGCCUUUGCCCUGUGAUCCAUCUAUAACUCCCUGUCAAAGCCUCCAUAAAGCAUCCUAUUUGCAACUUACAUCUCAAGCAACAACAGGUCUGUUAACUCACAUGGCCCAAAUUGUGGAGCAGCUUGCAUGGCAGCCUGAAUCUAUUGACAAGCCUUCUUUGGUUCUUGGGCUCGUACACUAGAAAAUCAAUCAAGGUCUCUGCAGCCUAGGACAUGACAUAGGCUGGAGAGUUGACAUAAUGCUAAAGUAGAGCAAGGGAGCCAAAUGCUAGUCCUUUUAACAGAAAUGAAACUGCUUUCGAUGAUCUUUAUUAAUAGGUAUGGAGAAAAAUGCAGUGUCCAGCUUAAUUGUCCCAGCUAUUGAGGAUCUGACUCCAAUAUAUAUAUAUUUUUGGGGGUUACAUAAUUCCAUUCAUAAUACCACCAGAGGCAUUGAACUUGAAUGGACCAGAGAGGACAGGCAAACUUCAUGAACAAGUAGUGCAGUUCUCCAUAAUACUGAGAAUGCUGCAUAAUUCUGAAUUCCUGAUACUGAAUUAUAGUUUAAGGAGACCAACCAGGCCUUUGGUGGAAAGUAGAUUACAUCACAUCAUUUCUGUCUUAGAAAGGCCAACAGUUCAUUCUCAUAGCUGUAGGCAUAUUUAAUAUAUGAACUUACAUUUUCUACCCAAACAACCUCAGCUAGCCAAUUAUCUGGAGGUUUACGCUAUACCUGAUACAUUGGUAUAAACUCCCAUAUGACAAGACAUGGCUAGUAACCAGGAAGAAUUUUCACGUGAAGGAGGCACAGCAGUGGUCCCAUAACCAUGGGUAUGGGUUCCACUGGCUAUGUCACAUACUGUAUCAUGCUAAUGCACCUAGUCUCAUACACUUUUGGAAUUGCCUACAAAAGGUACAGCUGAAGUAGUAGCAUUGAGAUAACAUUUUGUGAAGAAGAAAUUCCACCCUUCAGGAUGCAGUACAUGCAUCGAAUCAGAGAUCUCUCUAUGGCAUUGUGUCCAUAAUGAAAAGAAUAGAUAGGUCCAGGAAUGUAAGAUUACAAACAGGAGUGGCCCUUCUUUCACUGAUAUCCAAUAACCCCUAGGAAUUUUGUGCUUUUGGUCCCUCCAUGUUUGGGAUCUUCAGAACUGAAGCUAUUUAUCCCCCAAAUAGGUACAUUCUUGAUGUGGACAUCAUAAUAGUUCCAUUUAACUAUAAACUGCUGCUUUUGUCAGAGCAUUUUAUUCUGCAGCCAUCAGACAAGAAGUCACCAUCCUGACUGGGGUAAUUGACCCUACUCAGCCAGAGGACUUUGGGCUGUUUUACACAGUGAGGACAUGAAGAAAUACUUGUGGAUGCUAGUUGAUUUACUUGAGCCCUUUUCCAUACUUUCUGGACAUAUAAAGCAACUUGACCUGGGAAGAAUGGUUGCCAAAGGGCCUUACUACCUGGAAUAUAGGUUUCAUUCACACUACCACAUAAGACACCAAAACCUGUGGAGAUGAUAGCUGAAGGUGAGGAUUUAGAUAUACAGAGAAUGUAGAGUGUCCAAUAAGAGAUAAAGUACAUGAGUAACAGGUGUGUUCCCAAGAGCAACUGCAAGGACGAUGGCUACAAUUCAACUCACUAACUUUCCUUUGCUAAGUUCCCUCUUAGAGAACCAUGAAGUAGCUGCUUCCAAGUAUAGAUGAAGAAGUGGACCUAAGUAUAACAAGAGGUGAACUGUGAUGGCCAUGUAGGUGUGCUGCUGUAAUUUCCAUCAAGAGAACGGCUAGAAGAACAUAGUGGACUGACAGCUUCUAUCAGCUCCUGUCCGUUUGGAUCUGCUAUCAUGUUUAUGCUAAUACUUGCUCUUCUCACUGUCCAUCAAUGACUGAGAACAGUAGAUGGUUCAUGCCUGUAAUCCCAGCACUUUGGGAGGCUAAAGCAGGAGGAUCACUCAAGCCCAGGUGUUCCAGACCAGCCUGGGCAACAUAGUGAGACCGUAUCUCUACAAAAAGUAUGAAAAUUACUCUGGUGUGGUGGUGCACACCUGUAGUACCAGCUACUCAGGAGUCUGAGGCAGGAGAAUAAAUGGAGCCCAAGAGGUUGAGGCUACAGUGAGCCAUGGUCCUGCCAUUGCACUCCUGCCUGGGUGACAGAGCCAGAUGCUGAAGAAGAAAAGAAAAGAAAAGAAAAGAAAAGAAAAGAAAAG
rnacentral:lncRNA from 10 species